AUCACCUCUCGGCCUUUUAGGUAAGAUCAAGUGAAG
rnacentral:snRNA from 1 species